AAACCGUUGAAAGGGAAGCGAAUGGAGUUAGCAAUUCGCCACGCCAGAUUCAGUCUCUCGCGUUCCGCGGCGCGCGUGCUCUCGAUCUUCGUAGACGAGACGCGCGCGCACGCGGGACGGGGGCGGCGCACUUCUGGCGGGCGAGCGUCAACGUCGGUCGGCCGCGUGCUACAAGGCCGCGAGGAAGGUGGACCGCCCUCCGGGGCGAUUGUUAUAGCCUCGCGAUCGCAUGGCACGAGGGCGACCGUGGAACGCCGCGACGCGUGCCUCCCUUCGCGGAGGGGGGCUGGGGUCCUGUUCUGUCGAUCCGGUUGUCGACCGCGGCGGACGGCACGCCUGUGCGCUCGAACCGCUGCCGGUCGACAGGGCGGUGAUCACACACUACGCGUCGAGGACGUUGACGACCAUACGGCUCCAUCCGACCCGUCUUGAAACACGGACCAAGGAGUCUAACAUGUGCGCGAGUCUCCGGGUGAUCGAAACCUGUGGGCGCAAUGAAAGUAAAGGCGGCCCACGCCGCUGAGGUGAGAGGCACGUCGCUACACGGCGCGUGCCGCAUCAUCGACCGACCUGUUCUACUCUUAGAAAGGUUUGAGUAAGAGCGUACCUGUUGGGACCCGAAAGAUGGUGAACUAUGCCUGAAUAGGGUGAAGCCAGCGGAAACACUGGUGGAAGCUCGUAGCGAUUCUGACGUGCAAAUCGAUCGUCGAAUUUGGGUAUAGCGGCGAAAGACUAAUCGAACCAUCUAGUAGCUGGUUCCCUCCGAAG
rnacentral:rRNA from 1 species